rnacentral:rRNA from 1 species
ACGCGACCCCAGGUCAGGUGGGAUCACCCG